rnacentral:rRNA from 1 species
AUUCCAGCUCCAGUAGCGUAUAUUAAAGUUGUUGCAGUUAAAAAGCUCGUAGUUGGAUUUCUGGCCUGACGAAACUGACCCGCCGCGGUUACGUGUGUGAGUGUCGGGCUUCGUCUGCCAUCCUUCCAGAAAACGUUUCUACCCUUCACUGGGUUGGAUUCGCGAUCUGGAACUUUUACUUUGAAGAAAUUAGAGUGUUCAAAGCAGGCUUGCGCUGUGAAUACAUUAGCAUGGAAUAAUAAUUUAGGACUCAGGUCUUAUUUUGUUGGUUUCGAACACCGGAGUAAUGAUUAACAGGGACAGUCAGGGGCACUCGUAUUCCGCCGAGAGAGGUGAAAUUCUCAGACCAGCGGAAGACGAACCACUGCGAAAGCAUUUGCCAGGGAUGUUUUCAUUA